UACGAAGGGGGCUAGCGUUGCUCGGAAUCACUGGGCGUAAAGCGCACGUAGGCGGAUUCCUAAGUCGGGGGUGAAAUCCUGGAGCUCAACUCCAGAACUGCCUUUGAUACUGAAGAUCUUGAGUCCGGGAGAGGUGAGUGGAACUGCGAGUGUAGAGGUGAAAUUCGUAGAUAUCAAGCGGAACACCGGUGGCGAAAGGCGGCCUUCUGGACAGUGACUGACGCUGAGACGCGAAAGCGUGGGGAGCAAACAGG
rnacentral:rRNA from 1 species